AGCAGCCGCGGUAAUUCCAGCUCCAAUAGCGUAUAUUAAAGUUGUUGCAGUUAAAAAGCUCGUAGUUGAACCUUGGGCCUGGCUGGCCGGUCCGCCUCACCGCGUGUACUGGUCCGGCCGGGCCUUUCCUUCUGGGGAGCCGCAUGCCCUUCACUGGGCGUGUCGGGGAACCAGGACUUUUACUUUGAAAAAAUUAGAGUGUUCAAAGCAGGCCUUUGCUCGAAUACAUUAGCAUGGAAUAAUAGAAUAGGACGUGCGGUCCUAUUUUGUUGGUUUCUAGGACCGCCGUAAUGAUUAAUAGGGAUAGUCGGGGGCAUCCGUAUUCAAUUGUCAGAGGUGAAAUUCUUGGAUUUAUUGAAGACGAACUACUGCGAAAGCAUUUGCCAAGGAUGUUUUCAUUAAUCAGUGAACGAAAGUUAGGGGAUCGAAGACGAUCAGAUACCGUCGUAGUCUUAACCAUAAACUAUGCCGACUAGGGAUCGGUGGAUGUUUCUAUUUUGACUCCAUCGGCACCUUACGAGAAAUCAAAGUUUUUGGGUUCUGGGGGGAGUAUGGUCGCAA
rnacentral:rRNA from 1 species